UCCGUAACUUCGGGAAAA
rnacentral:snRNA from 1 species